GGGCUUGUAGCUCAGUUGGUUAGAGCGCGUCCCUGAUAAGGACGAGGCCGAUAGUUCGAAUCUAUCCAAGCCCACCA
rnacentral:tRNA from 1 species